rnacentral:tRNA from 1 species
GGCAAGAUGGCCGAGCGGUCUAAGGCGGUAAGCAACAACGGACACCACCAAACUUUCCACCAAAGGCUAAUCCAAGAAACAGCUGUGUUCAGGUGAUUAGAUGUUUAUCUCUUCUCAUGAAUUCGCAGUCCGAAAGGGCGUGGGUUCGAAUCCCACUCUUGUCA